AGUCCCCGUCCCCCUGAGUAGGACCCGCCUUCACAGCGACAUGCACGCCAGAGUGGUAGCCGUGCUCCUGAGCGCGGCCGCGCUGGUCGAAGGCGGGGUGGUUGGCCCGUACCCCGCCGGCCCCUACGUUACCGGCCCCAGCCCCGCCGGCAUCUACCCUGCUGGACCCUACCCCGCCGGACUCUACCCCGUGUACCCGGGGCCCGUCCGGCCUGCGCUCUACGCGCCCGCCCCCGUGUACCCUGACACCGUCCCCAAGUACAGUUUCGGGUACUCGGUCCAAGACGCGCACACCGGCGACGCCAAGAGCCAGCACGAGAGCCGCGACGGCGACGUGGUGCGGGGCAGCUACUCGCUCCUAGAGCCGGACGGCUCGACCAGGACAGUGCACUACUCGGCCGACCCCCACAACGGCUUCAACGCCGUGGUCGACAGGACGCCCGCCGCCCACCCGGCGCUGCCCAAGGUCGUCGCACCUGCCGUUCCCUUGCACGCACCGGGGCCUCUACCGGGUCCUCUGCCCGGACCCCUCCUGGGGCCAGGGCCUCUCCCGGGCCCCUUCCUGGAGCCAGGGCCUCUGCCGAGUCCUCUGCUGGGCCCAGGGCCUCUACCGGGUCCUCUACUGGGUCCAGGGCCUGGGCCCGGACCGCUGUUGGCGCCAGGCCCAUACUACCACGGCUGACAUCUGACGGAGCCACUGGCCUCUGCGGUCGCAUUGGACGGCUUCUGCCCACCAUCCACUAACAUCUUACCAAACACUGUUGGCAACCCAACGUGUAGCGGCGACGGCGGAGGGGCAGCGCGGACACUGACACAAUCCCAGCACAACGAGAAAUAUCCGCCGACGGAACUAGAGCUUUAAACGUCAAGCUAUCCAUGUGAGGUAAGGACUGCUACGCCAAGGGAGAAGAGACGAAUCUACGGAUAAGGCAAGAUAACGAAUCACAUUAUGCAUUAUUGUUCUCUCCCCACAAUGAA